GUUAUUAUAGCCAGGAAAAUAGGAAUCCCUGGUGGGUUUCUGAUUCCUGUGCUGAGAAGGAGAGUCACAGGUCCUGGAGAUAGAAAUGGAGGUGGCCUGCUGAUAAGAUACCUGCUGGUGAGCCCUGAUGUGGGACAUACGUGCAGAUAGGGGGCAGGGUUCGUUUACAGUGCCAGCAAGCAUGGAGUUGUCAGUAUUGGAGUGAGUUGUCGAAUUGUAGCUGCAUCUUGGUUCCUUUACACAGCUUGAAGGGGCAGCCUGCACAGACUGAAAUAUCUUGACAGUUGAGAUGUGGUCAGGUGAAAAGCUACAUCUCCAUUACAAGUUGGAACUCAGUAGAAUCAAACCUUGUUACUUUAAGAUCUGUAGAAAUAAACCUAAGUUAAUUUUCCCCCAAAUCACGAGCAUCCGUGAUGGGGUAGCCAAGCUGUUAAGGUGGCAGGAGGCUGGUCAGCGUCGGGUUGGGUUGGGUUGGGUUGGGUUGUGGGACAGAUGGAUUUUAUCAUUGAAUGGCUCUUCUCAGUGUAUGGAUACUGGGUUGGGCCUUGGGUUUUACUCACUUUCAGUAUAGCUUGCCAGUAUUGUUAAGGUAUCCAAAGCCUUUCUAGAUAGAGACAGGAACAUUGACUUGAACAUAUGUAUGUAAGAGUCCAGGCUCAUUCUGAGUUGAUGAAAAGUCUUGUUUGGACUUCUGCAGGGUUUGACUCCCUGGACACUCUGAGUGGGGUGGUCAUCCAGGCAGUACUAUUAAUGACCUCCCCAGGGCAGGCAUGAGUUGUGUCCUGAGUGGAACAUCUGGCCAUGCAUGGUUGUGAUGGGCCAUUGCUUUCGCUGCUUUAGAGCACCACAGACCUGACUGCUGCCGAGUCGGUCCCUGCAGCUAAUGCUCGAAGACCUUCUGGGCUCCUCGUGGCACUAGGCCCUUCACCUUGACUGUGUGCAUGCAUGACCUGCAAUAGAGCCCACCAACCACAUAGAAGUCCCCUGGCUAGAGUCUGAUGCCUGGUGGCUUACCGGACUUCUCAGUCAAUUCUGAAAGGUAUAUUUUGGGCACACAGUGAAAAGUGAGCCAUAGAUGGAGCUUCUUGCUGAUCACAUUGACACUGUCUGUGUUUGAUUUGCUGAGCUCUUGGAUGUUGGGAGUGUAGCAGGCACAGGAGGUACCUCUGCAGAAGGAAGGCGGAGGGUGGAGGCCUUGCCUUUCCAUAUUCACCUAGGUCUUGUCUUUCAACUUGUUGGUAGAAGUUACAAAUUAUUCUCAAAACUGUCUGUCUCAUCAUGAGGAAAAAGGAACUUUCUUUUGUUCCUAUUCAGGACUUGAGGUAUAGUGCCAUAAAAUGUAGCAAAAACCCUAUCGGCCAGAUCAGUGUUACAUUGAUUCUAAGAUUACAGUAUGUCCCAUCAAACAUCUGCUGUAGGUGAGGGAGUGGAUUUGAAGAGGGGUUGAAAGAAAGGAAGCAUUCCUCUUGCUUUAAACUAGUAUGUGCAUCAGAUGCUUACAGCAGAAGUUUGCACAGGUAAGAGAAGCUGCCAGUGACGUUCUGUGGGGCCUGGCUUUGGGCAGCUGCUCAUCAUUGAGGAAGUGGCAGGACUUGGAGGAAGUUAUGUGUGAAUGUUGUCAAGUCCUGAAGUCCUAUGAUGCACUGUGGCCCUAGAAAACGAAGAUGAAGCCUCCACUGACCACUGUGUCCUCUCUGACUUGGCCAGCCUGAUGGUCCUUCCUUCUACUCUGUGUAGUCAUUCCUAAGCCCCACAGAGGGAGCGCCAACAUUUCUCACUGUGCUGCUGAGGUUCUGACCUGGUGUGUCUGACAUUGCAUCAGGCUUUGCAGAACAAAUGUGAUUCACUUAAACGUUCACACACAGCAACACUGAAAUCCUACAGACCAAACAAACCCACUUGUCAGCAGGAGCCGUGGUCCAGCCCAGCACCUGUGCUCUCGUAGCCGAGGCCAGCCGUGUUGGGAAGAGAGCCAUGCCAAGGGUCCAGGCUGCUGUAGUCCACCUGUGCCCUACUCAUUUGGGGACAGGUGGUUUUUCUUGUAAACUUGUGGACUUUUGAAACCUGUUGACUAAACAGUAAUUAAUUUAUAUUUGUGAAAAAUGCCACUGUCCUGGUGAUUUCUGAUGUAAAUAAUGUUGUUUAUAUAGUAUGUAUUAAAUUUUCCUACAUUGU
rnacentral:lncRNA from 1 species